GAUGAACGCUGGCGGCGUGCCUAAUACAUGCAAGUCGAGCGAACAGACGAGGAGCUUGCUCCUCUGACGUUAGCGGCGGACGGGUGAGUAACACGUGGAUAACCUACCUAUAAGACUGGGAUAACUUCGGGAAACCGGAGCUAAUACCGGAUAACAUGUUGAACCGCAUGGUUCAACAGUGAAAGACGGUCUUGCUGUCACUUAUAGAUGGAUCCGCGCCGCAUUAGCCAGUUGGUAAGGUAACGGCUUACCAAGGCAACGAUGCGUAGCCGACCUGAGAGGGUGAUCGGCCACACUGGAACUGAGACACGGUCCAGACUCCUACGGGAGGCAGCAGUAGGGAAUCUUCCGCAAUGGGCGAAAGCCUGACGGAGCAACGCCGCGUGAGUGAAGAAGGUCUUCGGAUCGUAAAACUCUGUUAUUAGGGAAGAACAAAUGUGUAAGUAACUAUGCACGUCUUGACGGUACCUAAUCAGAAAGCCACGGCUAACUACGUG
rnacentral:rRNA from 1 species